rnacentral:rRNA from 1 species
UACGUAGGGGGCAAGCGUUGUCCGGAAUCAUUGGGCGUAAAGCGCGCGUAGGCGGCCCUGUAAGUCCGUUGUGAAAGUCCAGGGCUCAACCCUGGAAUGCCGGUGGAUACUGUCGGGCUCGAGUCCGGAAGAGGCGAGUGGAAUUCCUGGUGUAGCGGUGAAAUGCGCAGAUAUCAGGAGGAACACCGAUGGCGAAGGCAGAUCUCUGGGCCGUAACUGACGCUGAGGAGCGAAAGCGUGGGGAGCGAACAGG